CAUGAACGCUGGCGGCGUGCCUAACACAUGCAAGUCGAACGAUUGGCGUACGGGUGAGUAAUGUCUGGGAAACUGCCUGAUGUCGGGGGAUAACUACUGGAAACGGUAGCUAAUACCGCCUACUAUCGGAUGUGCCCAGAUGGGAUUAGCUAGUAGGUGGGGUAACGGCUCACCUGGGCGACGAUCCCUAGCUGGUCUGAGAGGAUGAUCAGCAACACUGGAACUGAGACACGGUCCAGACUCCUACGGGAGGCAGCAGUGGGGAAUAUUGCACAAUGGGCGCAAGCCUGAUGCAGCCAUGCCGCGUGUAUGAAGAAGGCCUUCGGGUUGUAAAGUACUUUCAGCGGGGAGGCGUUACCCGCAGAAGAAGCACCGGCUAACUCCGUGCCAGCAGCCGCGGUAAUAC
rnacentral:rRNA from 1 species